rnacentral:rRNA from 1 species
AUACGUAGGUGGCAAGCGUUAUCCGGAUUUACUGGGUGUAAAGGGCGCGUAGGCGGGGGUGCAAGUCAGAUGUGAAAUCUAUGGGCUUAACUCAUGAACUGCAUUUGAAACUGUAUCUCUUGAGUGCUGGAGAGGUAGACGGAAUUCCUUGUGUAGCGGUGAAAUGCGUAGAUAUAAGGAAGAACACCAGUGGCGAAGGCGGUCUACUGGACAGUAACUGACGCUGAGGCGCGAAAGCGUGGGGAGCAAACAGGAUUAGAUACCCUGGUAGUCCACGCUGUAAACGAUGAAUACUAGGUGUGGGGGGACUGACCCCCUCCGUGCCGCAGUUAACACAAUAAGUAUUCCACCUGGGGAGUACGGCCGCAAGGUUGAAACUCAAAUGAAUUGGCGGGG